GUGGCGCACGAGCUGCGGGGGCUGUCGCUGCAGGCCGGGCCCUGCCUGCCGCCCCUCACCGAGCGCAAGAAUGGCUGAAGGUUGGCAGAACACUUGGAAGUCUGUGUUGCAGAAGAGUGGAAGGAGCAAGCAUUGAUGACCUUAGAUGUAAAGCAAACGUUUAUGAAAAGUUUGUGCAAUACAUUGCCAUUAAAUGAGAUGUUACUGGACUCUGGUUUAUGGAACUGACGGAGAUGUUCCAUUCCAAGGCCUUUUUUCUUCCUUUCACCCAGUCAUGCAAUAUAUUCAAAUUAAAUUUAAAUUCAAAUGAGAGGUACUUGUGCCCUCUGAAAAUACUUCAAAUU